rnacentral:rRNA from 1 species
AGUGAACGCUGGCGGUAUGCCUAACACAUGCAAGUCGAGCGGAAGCACAGUAAGAGCUUGCUAUUACGGGUGGCGAGUGACGGAUGGGUUAGGCAUACAUCAGAUUCUAAUUUUUCUGGGGGGAGUACGUAGGGCAGCAGACGCUAAUACCGCAUAAUAGAGACGGGUGAGAGCAGGGGAGCUUGGGACCUUGCGUGAGUCAAUGAGCUGAUGUCGGAUUAGCUAGUUGGCGGGGUAAAGGCCCACCAAGGCGACGAUCCGUAGCUGGCCUGAGAGGAUGAUCAGCCACACUGGAACUGAGACACGGUCCAGACGCCUACGGGAGGCAGCAGUGGGGAAUAUUGGGCAAUGGGCGCAAGCCUGAUCCAGCCAUACCGCGUGGGUGAAGAAGACCUUCGGGUUGUAAAGCCCUUUUGUUGGGAAAGAAAAGCAGCAGGUUAAUACCCCGCUGUUCUGACGGUACCCAAAGAAUAAGCACCGGCUAACUUCGUG